CCGCGCCACGGCUGGCCGCCGCCGCGCCCCCGCACGGCGCCGUCGCCCUCCACGCCCGCCCUCCGCCGUCCAGCGCUGCGGUCGCGCCUGGCCGGUGCUCGCGCCUGCCGGAGCCCGCGCCUGGCCGGAACUCCUCGCUGGCCGUGCGCGCGCCAUAGCGCCCUCGCCCGCCGCGCCAGGUCGCCUCGCCUGUCGGCGUAGCCCGCCACGCCAGGCCGCCCUCCGCGGCUGCGGCAGCGCCCCUCCCCUGCCUCAGAUGUCAAGGUUUGGAAAAAGUCUUCAUCAGCGGUGGGAUGAAGACGACGAAUCUGAUGACGAUGACCUCCUAAUUCUUGCUGGUCUUAUUGAGGGCUCAAAGAGGAACAAGCAGAAGAAGAACUUUCGUGGAUCUUUGCCUGGUCGUCACAGCGUGCGGAGGGGCAUCUUGGGGGGUCAUGAUGGUAUAUUCCGGGACUACUUUGCCUGGUGUAUCCGUGUGUUGAAGCCCAAGGACUACGAGCAUCGUGAUCCUCUUCUUCUAAAUGACUUCCUCAAGAUACACGAAGAAAUUGAGGACAGGUCGUCACAUGAGCUACUUCGUGAUGAUCUAGUAGAGGCGUAGAGCAUCUAUGGGCAAGAUAUAGUGCUAGGUAGUUUGAUGAUCCUCUGAAAUAUGUCAUAAACUACUUGUAUUUUGUAAAGAUCAGCUAUAUUCAGUUCUGAAUUCUGAAUGUAUUCCGAAUGUAACUUGCUGUUCAGUUCUGAAUUCUGAAUGUAUUCUGAAUGUAACUUGCUGUUGAGUUCUGAAUUCAGCUAACCUGACAUUCAGAGAAAAUUCAGUAAAUAUUCAGCAUAACUCACAUUAUGUAUCCUGUUUUAUUACUAAUGGCUUACUGAUGGUCUCUGAAUGAUCAA